AGUUAGAAAAGAAAGUGACAUUUGGAGUGGAGCUGUUGGUACAACAUACAGAGGGACUGAGACAUGGAUCAUCUGGGGGUGAAGGGUCACCGGUAUACAUCUGCUUGCUGGUGCGUCGCUCAGAGAGGUCUCAGAGUCCAACAUGAUUAGUUUGAAACAAGACCGACACAAGAGUAAUGCUACAUGAAAAGGAGAAAACCAAUAGGAAUCUGAACAAUCGGCAGACCCAAAUCCUUGGCCCACCGUCAGAUUACCGGUCCUCAGAACCCCGAUGUGUCUACGACGGCACCAGGAGCCUAAUCUCAUGUGCAAUAUUUGGUUCAAAGGCAUUAUUGGAACGCUAAUGGAAUGAAAACAGGUCAACCAUUUGAUAGCCAUGGCAGUAAACAUGGUUCAAUUGAAAGUGAGUGGGCUCACAGGAAAGAGUGGGUCGGAUUGACAGGAAUAUUCAAGAGCUCCAUGUCUCUGAUCCUCCAAUGGGGGCGACCAACAAAGAAAUUGAAAUAAGAACAGCGGCCAUCAUAAUGCGGUUCAUUCAUUAGAGGCCUCUGUCUCUGGGGAAAACCUCCUUGCUCACGUCAAACUGCAUCCGAAAAUAGUGCUUUGGAAUGCCAAUUAGUGUCAAAAGGUCAUUUAGUGUCAAAAGGUCGUUCAAGUAAUUUAGAUCUUUUUAUCGUUUUAUUGUUUUAUUGCGCUGCUUAUUCGGUUUGACCAAAAAACGCUCCAAGAAUCGUUCUCCGCAUGCAGGGGAAUAAGAUCUGCUCCUGCUGCCAGGAAAAAAGAGCCAAUUCAACAUCCUUAUGAUGUUCAUCCACCCGCCCUCUCCACUGGCUCGCUGAAUUUACACGGCUAACGUACCAAUUAGCAGCUCGGGAUCAUAAAGACGUCAGCUAAUGGUCACUCGGGUCAGUGUGGUUCAGAAACGCUGCCCUUCGUCAGAGAUGAGCUGCAGCUAAGGGUGGGUGUGUGGGGGGGGCAUUGGGCCUUCUCAGUGGAGGGUAAAGAUGGCUGACCUGUAGGCAUCAGCAGGUCAAGUCCACUUUUUCCCUUUCCUCCACCCACUCCAUGUUGUUGUGCUUGCGUGUCUCAGACAAUAAGGCGUCAACAUGGAGGGGGAGGGGCUAAAG
ensembl:lncRNA